UGCUUUUGAUAUAUUUUAUCUUGUCAUCUGGGCUGGCUAGGAUCUCAGAGCCUGAAUCUGAAAAAAGAAGAGGUGACGGCAGCUAGCUCUGUUUUGCUGUUGACCUUAAAAGGGAUGCCUUCAAAUGUCAGGAGUGAGAACGGUGCUGGGUCGUCUUCAUCCAGGUAAGAAGCUCCUGGGAGACUUUCCCUUCGCAGCCUCAGCAGCAAACACAGGGCCUGGCUCCGCAGAUGUGAGCUCAGCAGAGUGGACAGUGAGAGAGAGAAAGACAGAGAGAAAUGUCUUCCUUUUGCUGUUGGUUCACCCUCCAAUGGCCGCUGCAGCCAGCGCACCGCGCUGAUCCGAAGCCAGGAUCCGUAGGCAGGAGCCAGGUGCUUCUCCUGGUCUCCCAUGGGGUGCAGGGCCCAAGCACUUGGGCCAUCCUCCACUGCACUCCCUGGCCACAGCAGAGAGCUGGCCUGGAAGAGGGGCAACUGGGACAGAAUCCGGCGCCCUGACCAGGACUAGAACCCGGUGUGCUGGCGCCACAGGCAGAGGAUUAGCCUAGUGAGCCGCGGCGCCGCCGGCCACGUUACCUACUUCUGAAAAGUCUGUUAUUGAAGUAUAUUUGCAUUCUGGAACUUUCCUUUGGAUCCAUCUUUU